UACGGGGGGUGCAAACGUUGCUCGGAAUCAUUGGGCGUAAAGCGCACGUAGGCGGUCUGUUAUGUCGGAUGUGAAAGCCCUUGGCUCAACUGAGGAAGUGCAUCCGAAACUGGCAGGCUAGAGUACUAAAGAGGAUCGCGGAAUUCCCGGUGUAGAGGUGAAAUUCGUAGAUAUCGGGAGGAACACCGGUGGCGAAGGCGGCGAUCUGGGUAGAUACUGACGCUGAGGUGCGAAAGCGUGGGGAGCAAACAGG
rnacentral:rRNA from 1 species